rnacentral:tRNA from 3 species
GGGUCACUAGCUCAAUGGUAGAGCAGCGGACUCUUAAUCCGGUGGUUGAAGGUUCGAGCCCUUCGUGACCCA